UACGUAGGGGGCAAGCGUUGUCCGGAAUCAUUGGGCGUAAAGGGCGCGUAGGUGGCCCGGUCAGCGUGCGGUGAAAGCUCGGGGCUCAACCCCGAGUCGGCCGUGCGAACUGCUGGGCUGGAGCACUGUAGAGGCAGGCGGAAUUCCGGGUGUAGCGGUGGAAUGCGUAGAGAUCCGGAAGAACACCGGUGGCGAAGGCGGCCUGCUGGGCAGUGGCUGACACUGAGGCGCGACAGCGUGGGGAGCAAACAGG
rnacentral:rRNA from 1 species